CAGCCUUGUGUCGCGGUGAUGCGAGGGGCAGCGCGGGGCCAGAACUGAGAAGGAGUCCGAGCGACGGGGCCGGGACGGCGACGGGGGACCGUCCGCACCGGUGUGGCCGCGCUCCGAUCCGCUGUUACAGCCCUUGUGACAGCUAUGACUCCCGGUCCCACCUUGGUGGGCAGGAACCCAGGCUGCUCAUGCACAGCUGCAUCCAAGAGCCACAGGUCAGCCCGACGGGAUGGGAUGCACCUGUGCCCACGAAAAGGAAUCAAAAGACCUGGAGAAGGAGGUGGUUGUGGUAAUUGAAAUAAUAAAGGGGAAACAAAAUAUAUAUGGCAUUGUCCAUAGAAAAAGUAGUUGAAUACUUACAAGGAUCCAGCAACACAAUUACUGGCCUAGACUAUUCCUUAAGAUGUUGUAAACAGGCUGUAUGAUGCUGCCUUAACUUUCCCCUCAUUUCUCCAACUAGAGAUCUCAGAUUCAGUAGCACUGCUGUACAGCAAAGGACCAUAUUGCAUGUAUCAGGGCAACCUGAUCUAGUAAAGGUGUAUGUUUGGUGGCCCUGCUAGGCAGGGGGGUUGGAACUACAUGAUCCUUGAGGUCCCUUCCAACCCGGGUCAUUCUGUGAUUCUGUGAUACAGUCCCCAAAGUCCUGCCUCUUUUCCCAUUGAAGCUGGGACAGCCACAGCAGCUCCUCUGGACACAGCAUUCAACGCCACCACUACUAAUUUCAGUUAAGUGGGCACUCACCAUUACUAACCUGAAAACCAGGGACAGAAAUGCAUAUUUCGUAAUUAGCUGCCAUGUUUCAAACAACUUUUGCGUUCUCUAACGAUCUCAACGUUAAACUCCUAAGCAGGUAUCCUACAGAGUUCUGUUUUUUUUCCCCUAACUUGUCAAUACUUAAACCAAACAGAAAGUAACACAGUAGAAAAGCAGAUCAGUACUUGAAUGAAGUACUUGAAUGAUUCUUAAUCUUCCGUAAUUAUCUGAAGCAUUCCUUCUAACAGAAGGCUGUAAUACAGUUUUCUAAGCAAAGGUAUUUUCUCCUGUGGUAGCAGUAGUGUUGCUUCUCCAUUGCUCCAUGUGUUAGCUUUGCUGCAUGCAUUUGGGACACCACUAUCCUCCAUUCUGAGUAGCAAACUAGAUGAACAUCCAGUUUCUUUCCCAUAUUCUAUCUACCAAACACAUCACUGACUAUCUUCGAGCCCCCCUUUGGACUGAAUUAUUUAGAAUACUUCUUACUGAAAAGCGUUGCACCUGAAUAGCUUAAAAUGCCUUCUGCAAGGAACAAGAACCUCUGAAUUUUCCCAGUGAUACAAAAUUACCCAUUGUAAGAGCCAAAGCGAAGACGUGAGCAGCUGUAGAAGGACCUCACAAUAGUGAGCAAACGGGCAGAGAGACAGCAGAAGAAAAUUCUAUGGCCGUAACUGCAAACUAAAGUAAAUAGCAAUGAAAACAACCCUUACUAAACAAUGCAUAAUAAUGGCCUCUAAAUUAACCUUCAUCAAUGGGAGCUGUUGUGAACAGCUUUCUGCAAACAUUAGCUUGCUGCUCAGCCUUAGAUGAGAAGGCAAAUAAUGUUAGGAAUUACUCCAAAAGCAAUUGAGAACAAAGUGGAAUAGCUCAUUACAUUGCUGUGUAAAUCUCUUGUGUACUUCAGUAGUGUGUAUAGUUCUGUCUCCUUCAUGUGGAAAUAGAGAACAAGAAAGUGUACGGGGCUAAAGAAUAGUCGUGGGUAUGGAAUUCCACACAUGUGAGGAGAACCACAACUGUGAAACAGAGGAGGGAUUACCUUCAGAUCCAUACAGUCAUGAAUGGGAUGUAGGAACCUGAGAGGAAACAAGUACGUGCCAUUUUUCAUUUUACAGGACCUGAGGGAGACACGGCUAAUGAUCAGGCAGCAGGUUUAAGACAACAGCUGCAAAGAACUUUGCUGUACAAAGUGUUAUUAAAUUGCCUGGCUUGCUGUGACACAGCACUAUGGAUCUGAAGGCACAGAUGUUUUUAAAUAGGGAUUACAUGAAGGAAUGAACAAUAGCUUGAACUAUUAAGCAGAGUAAUUGCAUUUUCAGUGCCUGCCUAUUGCUUGCUAGAGCUUUAAGAAGGGACACUCUUCACAUACCUUAUUCCAAUGCUCCCCUGAGCAUGAGAUGGUUAAUUCUUUUCUUCCUGCUCAAUUAGGUGUGAGAAAGAGAGGACAAACAGCCUUCUAGGUAUGGAAACAUACAUCUGCCUUUAUGUCCUGGGAGAAAGAUCAGAGUAGUCCCUUAUCUUCCCGUUCGAGUGUUCUUCUAUGUCCCCGAAGAGAAUGCUUUUCCAGUGGUUCCCUAGCGAUUAGCCCUAUUCAGCAGUGACAAUCCAUUUGCAUCAGCCUUUCCACAUCAGCGCUACUUUUUGCACCCCUUUACACAAGAAUGGGGAAAGAAAUCCUGAAGUGUAAUAACAGCAGACAUGCAUAGAACACAUUGAAAAUACUUUCCACUUCCACAGAUCAUGACAAUAAAAUUCCUUGGUCAUUAUAGAGGAGAAAGGGAUUAGUAAUUUCGUCUUGUUUAAGAAGUAGGAAAGUAAAGCAGAAACACACAGAGAUGCUUUAAAAACUAACAGCAGAUAAAAGUCCUGCAUAGACAACCAGUUUCUAAGAACCAUGUUAGAGAUGUCCUUAUUAAAUACAAGAAACUGGAAAUCUGACAAGCAAAACUGAAAUGAAGUUUGGCAGAGCUCCAACAAUCCUUGAAGACAAACAUAUGAUAAAUCAGCCGGAGUGGUUACAUCUCAUAUAAACAAAAUCUGUAUGGUUGAUACUCUGUACAGUUACUCAUCUCCACUCAGAAAAGAGCUUGCUUCAAACCUUAUUUCAGCAAUGGAUAGUAAUGCCAAGGCCUCACAUUCAGCAGAAUUUAUAUGAUUUCUUUUACUGUUUAGACUGGAACUGGUUUAAAAAAAAAAAAAAAAAGUGAAGAUUUCUGAUGCUUUCUAUAUAUACACACAAAUAAAAUUAA